rnacentral:lncRNA from 1 species
GUGCCCAAGGCAAUAUCGGACUUCCUUAUUUUUCCUUCAAAUGCAAAAUAAAACUACCCACCCACUGGAAAAGGAACAUCUCCAUUAAGAUCUGAUCUGGAUUAUCGAACAGUUCCUGCUCAGGGUGCACAAGGACUCCACAUCCUGCUAAACCCAGAGCUCCCGCACCCCUCCCUAGGGAAAGGAACUGCAGACACGCAACCAGAGAGGGUCUUCACUGCACACAAAAUCAGUUCCCUGCACCUGGCCAUUCUCGGGAUCCCCUGACCGCCAGCCGCGCAGGAGAGCGAGCCCUAGGAACCAAGCAGCAGGCAGACAAAGGGCAGGGAACACAGCCUGAGUCAGCCAGCCGCCAACAACAGCUGGUGGUGGGAGCAGGAGCAUCCUGAACUAGGGCGCAGCUCUUCCAGCACAGCGAGAGGCCAAGGGCAGAAUCACACACAGCGGCGGGUGAGCCUUGCACAGUGGCUGCGGUGCCUGCGGCUGAAAGGCUGGAGGGAGAGCCUCCAACAUCAGCCAGCAGCUCUUCCGAGGCAUCUGGAUUCUCAGACAGUGGUGAGAAGCGCAAGAUGCAGGAGAAAGCUGGGCAGAUUCUUCGCCACUGGACCCCCGGGAAGUCCCAUUCUUCAAUGCCUCCUUUCACUCCUCUUCCUCACUGAGAAGUCACUCAGCAGUGACUGCCGCAGCCUGCCUUCCCUCAGACUUGGUCACCGUUGUGCCCCAGGCCUGUGCUGCGCCUGACCUCCUGCAUCCCGCCUGGGGUCCCUGGAAACCACUGGGAUGGCUUUCAUCGCGACGUCCUCAGACGUUUCCAGACGGUGAGUGAUGAGAGCCCUGCUGGCGCGGGGCUUGGAGCGGAGGCGUUUCAGGGCUGUGUGUG